UACGUAGGUGGCAAGCGUUGUCCGGAUUUACUGGGCGUAAAGCGCGCGCAGGCGGACUGAUCAGUCUGGGGUGAAAUCUCCCGGCUCAACUGGGAGCGGUCCCUGGAUACUGUCAGUCUUGAGAGACCUAGAGGAGAGCGGAAUUCCCGGUGUAGUGGUGGAAUGCGUAGAUAUCGGGAAGAAACACCAGUGGCGAAAGCGGCUCUCUGGGGGUUUUCUGACGCUGAGGCGCGAAAGCGUGGGGAGCGAACCGG
rnacentral:rRNA from 1 species